rnacentral:snRNA from 1 species
ACAUCACCCUGCGAGGUGCAAA